UGCUAGUUCAGAGCCCAUCACUAUGUCUUUAAAGUUAGUAAUCGUUUUUUUAACUCAUUUGCGUUACUUUUCAUUGUUGCUUUCACACCAGAAGCAGGAUGUGGUAUUGACCCUUUUAUUGUCAAUUGUUAUUUGAGAACAGCUCGAUGUCUUUGGCACACACAUCAAACCAGACUUUGAGCAGAGCUAAAUGUGGCUUUGCUUUGAGAACUUCAAUGGAGCCAUGGCCCUUUGCAUUUACAGAGGAGCUGUCUGCAAUGAAAAGUCCCUUUGGCUUCUUGGCUAAACCAAAAGGUUGCAUAACAUGUGCCGUAAGUGGCAACUGAAUUGAAAAACUGGUUAUCUGUAUGGUGGGCAAAAGAGAAAGAUAUUUUGGCAUAUCUCAGUUUCCCUCAGGAUUUGCACCAGGAUAACCUCCUGGAAAGUGCCAGGAGCCUCUCUUGAACGUUCAGUGCCUUCAGACUCCUGUUGGUAUGGAUGGAAACUAAAAACUUUUGAUAGUGGAGAGAUUUAACUCUGAGGGGCUGCAGAAAAAAAGAUGCGUUCCUGUUCCAGGACCUCCAGGUGCACAUAAGUGAUGCUUUUGAGAGGAUCUGCAGAUGGCUGCCAUUUAUCAAGACAGAUGAACUCAUUUGCAGGAAGAGGAAAGGCAGAGAUACAAAGAUUGACAUUUCUACUGUGUGGUUUGAAGCUAAAAUGUAAAGCCCGGGGUCCCUCCUGUCCGUGGAAUGCUCAACCGCUAAGAAAGAUGGACAAACAUGUUGGUGAAAUGCUCACUGAAAUCGUGCAUCUUACAGCAAGAGAUGGGCAAGAGCUGAGCGAUUUAGAUCUGGAGGUAGGUUUGAAGACUCCAAAAAUCAACGUUCUCAGCAGAGCUGAGCUUAAGUUUGAGCUCUCUGGGAAAAUAUAGUUCAACUGUAAUCACUCCACUUAUGUGGGCAAUGGGAAAUGGUUCUGGUGUCAGAUCGAUCCUAGCAAAACCAGAUUUUGCUUUUAUUUUAGUCCUCUGAAAGGGAAUUUUUAACCCUGCUCAACUGCAGCCUGGUGCUGCAGUUUUAAGUCUUUUCCGAGUACAUCUGUCCAGUGCUGCAUGGACUCCUGAGCAAAAAUGAAAUACAUUGCUUCUGAUGAAAUACAUUAUCACACCAGUAAAUGCUUAAGGUGGAAUAUGUAUGUGGCUGACUGACUAAUGGACAACUGUAAGUCGUUUCCAUCAACAUAUCUUUACAACCAUAAGAACAUCUUCUGCUUUUUCGAAGAUAUUUUAGGACUAUGAUGGAAAUUGAAGGUGUAAG
rnacentral:lncRNA from 1 species